CGUCUAUAUACGUAUAGCAUAUCAAUAAGCGGAGGAAAAGAAACUAACUAGGAUUCCCUCAGUAACGGCGAGUGAAGCGGGAAGAGCUCAAAUUUGAAAUCUUCAAGGUUCUACCUUGACGAAUUGUAGUUUAAAGAAGUGUUUUCUGUUGGAGUUUUCGGUAAAAGUUCUUUGGAAUAGGACAUCAUAGAGGGUGAGAAUCCCGUAUUUGACCAUUAUUUCCAACUUUGUGAUACACUUUCAAAGAGUCGGAUUGUUUGGGAAUGCAGUCCAAAAUGGGUGGUAAAUUUCAUCUAAAGCUAAAUACUGGCGAGAGACCGAUAGCGAACAAGUACCGUGAGGGAAAGAUGAAAAGAACUUUGAAAAGAGAGUUAAACAGUACGUGAAAUUGUCAAAAGGGAAGCGUUUGACACCAGUGUUGUUUUCUCGAAAAUCAAUUAAAAAUGGCGGGAUUUUGAGUUGUAUUGACUUUAUCAGCUUUCUGCACUUUUUUCCUGUCUUUUUUAAUGCACUUUUCGUUUAACAAGUCAACAUCAAUUUCUUUUGUUGUAAAAGGGUCAUUGGAAGGUGGCUUUCUUUUCGGAGAAAGUGUUUAUAGCCUUUGACUUCUGCAAUCGGAGAGAUUGAGGUCUGCAGCGUAGAUCCUUCGGGGUUAGAUGCAUUUGUGCUAAGUUAUAGCCUUUCAUAGACAACUUGUUGACUAUGAUCAGUCAUGUAGCUUACUCGCUUAUGUCAUUUUACCUACGCUUAGGAUGUUGACGAUCAGCUGAGCGCG
rnacentral:rRNA from 1 species